rnacentral:rRNA from 1 species
UACACUCCUACGGGAGGCAGCAGUGGGGAAUUUUGGACAAUGGGCGAAAGCCUGAUCCAGCAAUGCCGCGUGAGUGAAGAAGGCCUUCGGGUUGUAAAGCUCUUUUGUCAGGGAAGAAACGGUGAAAGCUAAUAUCUUUUGCUAAUGACGGUACCUGAAGAAUAAGCACCGGCUAACUACGUGCCAGCAGCCGCGGUAAUACGUAGGGUGCAAGCGUUAAUCGGAAUUACUGGGCGUAAAGCGUGCGCAGGCGGUUUUGUAAGUCUGAUGUGAAAUCCCCGGGCUCAACCUGGGAAUUGCAUUGGAGACUGCAAGGCUAGAAUCUGGCAGAGGGGGGUAGAAUUCCACGUGUAGCAGUGAAAUGCGUAGAUAUGUGGAGGAACACCGAUGGCGAAGGCAGCCCCCUGGGUCAAGAUUGACGCUCAUGCACGAAAGCGUGGGGAGCAAACAGGAUUAGAAACCCCUGUAGUCCCAUGA